UCCGACUGUCAUGCUUGGAGCUUCAACACUUUAAUUUCCGUGGCUCAAACAGAAAUGGUUCCUUCUUGAAAGUUGUUCAUCUGCUCAAGAACUAGAGGGUGUCCAAAAUUCAGCUCCAUUGGAGAGAAGCAGCAGCUGCAAAAAUUUGAUAGAGAAAAGGAGGCGAAGCUUUGUUGGAUUUCUAGGCUGGGGAAGAUUCCAGUUUUUGUAGCAACUUCAGUACUGUGACUGUGGAAGACGGAUUGCUUUCUGAUUGAGAAGGGUUCCGGCAUCGCUUUGCACCAUCUUCAUUGACGCGGGGCACCAUCCAACUGUUUGGGCAGGAGCUAUCUGACAUAGAGAAGGUGUUGAGGGUGCCCAAAGAGGAUAGACACUUAAGCAAGCUACGACCC